rnacentral:rRNA from 1 species
GUUGGACGCUAGCGGCGGAUGGGUGAGUAACACGUGGGCAAUCUGCCCUAAAGACUGGGAUACCACUUGGAAACAGGUGCUAAUACCGGAUAACAACAUGAAUCGCAUGAUUCAAGUUUGAAAGGCGGCGCAAGCUGUCACUUUAGGAUGAGCCCGCGGCGCAUUAGCUAGUUGGUGGGGUAAAGGCCUACCAAGGCAAUGAUGCGUAGCCGAGUUGAGAGACUGAUCGGCCACAUUGGGACUGAGACACGGCCCAAACUCCUACGGGAGGCAGCAGUAGGGAAUCUUCCACAAUGGACGCAAGUCUGAUGGAGCAACGCCGCGUGAGUGAAGAAGGUCUUCGGAUCGUAAAGCUCUGUUGUUGGUGAAGAAGGAUAGAGGCAGUAACUGGUCUUUAUUUGACGGUAAUCAACCAGAAAGUCACGGCUAACUACGUGCCAGCAGCCGCGGUAAUACGUAGGUGGCAAGCGUUGUCCGGAUUUAUUGGGCGUAAAGCGAGCGCAGGCGGAAUGAUAAGUCUGAUGUGAAAGCCCACGGCUCAACCGUGGAACUGCAUCGGAAACUGUCAUUCUUGAGUGCAGAAAAGGAGAGUGGAACUCCAUGUGUAGCGGUGGAAUGCGUAGAUAUAUGGAAGAACACCAGUGGCGAAGGCGGCUCUCUGGUCUGCAACUGACGCUGAGGCUCGAAAGCAUGGGUAGCGAACAGGAUUAGAUACCCUGGUAGUCCAUGCCGUAAACGAUGAGCGCUAGGUGUUGGGGACUUUCCGGUCCUCAGUGCCGCAGCAAACG